rnacentral:lncRNA from 1 species
AGGAGAAACAGGAAGGGUCCCUUUUCCCAUCUGCUCUUGCUCCAGUGGCAGGAUGUGAUCCACCGGCAAGGGAGGAUGCCAAUAUGGUGUCCGAUAAGAUAAGUCUUAUAAAAUAUAUAGGUUUAUGAUAAUUAAGACUGAGCCAACAGAUGAGAAUCCUAGUCAUUGGUCAAGCAGCAUUGUACCUAAUACAAGUUUCUGUGUAUUCAUUUGGGUCCUAACUCAGGCGGGCAGUUGGCAUAAAGCUCACAUGUGGUGGUGGGGCUCAGGCGGCUUUUGGCAGAAAGAUUUAUCCUAACAAGUUUUAGCUAGCUAGGAAGAUCUAGCAGUCCAGCUUCCUGCUUGUGAAUUCUGGCUUCCACACUUCCUAAAGUCUGUUUGGCACAUUCAUCUUUUUGCAACCCCCGGAGAUUAACCAAGACCACUUCCAUGACCCUGGAUGUGCAGAUAUACAUCGAAGGAGGAAAAUCCAAGAAAACAAAAUAUUGCCUCUGAGGCUUGAUUGUUUUUGACGAUGCUUAUGGAACUCUACAGAAAAAAAAAGGGCACAACUAUAUUCAAUAGUGAAAACAGACGUUGGAAAAAUAUUUUAUUCUAUAUUAUGCUGUUACCUCAGUCUCAUCAUGAAUUUGAGAAGAAAGAAGAUUGUAAUUUCAAAGGGAUAUGAAAAAUUAGACUCACUAUACCUGGAACCUGAUAAAUUAGUUCCUAUCAUUGUAUUUCUGCUGUGUUACUGCAUAUCAGUCCUUGACAAUGACAUUAGUGUGCUAUGUAGUGAUCAAGCAAUGCAAAGUUUUUAUUCUACAUUUCUAUUAAUUAGUAAAUAUAAUUAAUAAAUCUGAGUAAUAUAAUAAACAUAUAUAUAUAAUUAUA